rnacentral:tRNA from 1 species
ACAUUUCUAGUUUAAUUAAAAAUGUUAGUUUGUCAUACUAUAGAAGAAGAUUUACUUCGAGAUGUG